rnacentral:rRNA from 1 species
AUACGUAGGGGGCAAGCGUUAUCCGGAAUUACUGGGCGUAAAGAGUGCGUAGGUGGUCUUGCAAGCCUAUGGUGAAAGGCUAUGGCUCAACCAUAGUAAGCCUUAGGAACUGUAAGACUUGAGUGCAGGAGAGGAGAGCGGAAUUCCUAGUGUAGCGGUGAAAUGCGUAGAUAUUAGGAGGAACACCAGUGGCGAAGGCGGUUCUCUGGACUGUAACUGACGCUGAGGCACGAAAGCGUGGGGAGCGAACAGGAUUAGAUACCCUGGUAGUCCACGCCGUAAACGAUGAGCACUAGGUGUCGGGGUUUAAAGACUUCGGUGCCGUAGCAAACGCAUUAAGUGCUCCGCCUGGGGAGUACGCACGCAAGUGUGAA